CUGAGUGAAGAAAUUAAAGCUCGGAGAGAAGACAUGACCUGCCCGGGCUCUGAAAUUAGUCUGCGACUCAAGCAAGAUGAGAGCUCAUGCCCCUGCUUUUCCUCCAAGGUUGUGCUUCUCAUCAGCGGUCCCAGGAGAUGAUUCUACUGAAUGCCCCAAACAGCCUGAUUCUCUAGGGAACCCUGGGUCUCAGGAGCAUCCCCCUUUUAUGGAGGAGGAGGAGGUGCGGACACUAUGUGGCUCAUUCAAGGCGGGAAGCCUCCCUUUCUGCAGCUGUAAAAUAAAGAUCAUGAUUGUUUCUC